AUUGAACGCUGGCGGCAGGCCUAACACAUGCAAGUCGAGCGAGCGGCGGACGGGUGAGUAAUGUAUGGGGACUGCCCGAUAGAGGGGGAUAACUAAUGGAAACGGUAGAUAAUACCGCAUACUAUCGGAUAACCCAUAUGGGAUUAGCUAGUAGGUGAGGUAAUGGCUCACCUAGGCGUGGCUCCCUAGCUGGUCUGAGAGGAUGAUCAGCCAGACUGGGACUGAGACACGGCCCAGACUCCGACGGAGGCAGCAGUGGGGAAUAUGGCACAAGGGGCGCAAGCCGGAUUCAGCCAGGCCGCGUGUAUGAAGAAGGCCCUAGGGUUAUAAAGUACUUUCAGUCGGGAGGCGUUACCGACAGAAGAAGCACCGGCUAACUCCGUGCCAGCCGCCGCGGUAAUAC
rnacentral:rRNA from 1 species